GGGGCUGUAGCUCAGUGGUAGAGCACUCACCUCACACAAAGUGAGGCGCUGGUUUCGAUCCUCAGCACCA
rnacentral:tRNA from 1 species